AUGGCUUCUCAGCUUUUAGGCUAAGAUCAAAUGUAGUAUCUGUUCUAAUCAGUUUAAUAUCUGAUACGUCGUCUAUCCAAGAACAUAAUAUUAAAUGGAUUUUUGGAGCUGGGAGAUGGAAUAGAAGGUAGCUCUGUCCACUCUGUGCAUUGACUUGUAUUGCAGUACUUUUGGGAACGGUGCACCAGAA